rnacentral:rRNA from 1 species
GACGAACGCUGGCGGCGUGCUUAACACAUGCAAGUCGAACGGAAAGGCCCUGCUUUUGUGGGGUGCUCGAGUGGCGAACGGGUGAGUAACACGUGAGUAACCUGCCCUUGACUUUGGGAUAACUUCAGGAAACUGGGGCUAAUACCGGAUAGGAGCUCCUGCUGCAUGGGGGGGGUUGGAAAGUUUCGGCGGUUGGGGAUGGACUCGCGGCUUAUCAGCUUGUUGGUGGGGUAGUGGCUUACCAAGGCUGUGACGGGUAGCCGGCCUGAGAGGGUGACCGGCCACAUUGGGACUGAGAUACGGCCCAGACUCCUACGGGAGGCAGCAGUGGGGAAUAUUGCACAAUGGGCGGAAGCCUGAUGCAGCAACGCCGCGUGCGGGAUGACGGCCUUCGGGUUGUAAACCGCUUUCGCCUGUGACGAAGCGUGAGUGACGGUAAUGGGUAAAGAAGCACCGGCUAACUACGUG